ensembl:lncRNA
GCCUUCCUGGUGGCCAUAUUGCUUCCACAUGAAUAAUUUCAGUGUUGAUGAGCUAAACUUGGGCCGCUCAUCCCAUUUUUUUUUCAGCAAGUCUAAUUAAAUAACUGCAACAUGUAAUUAUCUUUUUAGUCAUGACAGUCUUGCCUUUUUAAAAUUUUCAGUUCUUCCAGAGGAACAAAGUAACUGCUGGAAAGGCACUGAUUGUAUUUAGGUCUAAAAUUAUAAUUUCACGACAUUGGUAGUUAAACCAUUGCUAUUACUUUUCUUUUCUUCCUUUACUGUUCCUUCGGGGAGAGGACUUAGCACUACAGGGCUUGUGAUUAUUAUGACAAUGACUAGAACAGAAAGAAGGCAAAGAAAACCCUCUUGGUUGAUGUCUACUGAUACUUGAACCAACUUUACUUAGACGACUUUAUACUUAAACAGUAUUUGAAUCUUUGAAAAAAAUUUGUUGCAAAACUUUUACUUGUUCUAUCCCUUUUGGUGAAUUCUUCUAGUCUUUUUAAUAUUUAUAUACAAAUAUAUCCAUAUAUAUAUAUUUGCUUUAGUUUUUAUAAAAAUUGGGGCUACACUCUAUAUGCUGCUUUGUAUUUCCUUUUUAAAAGACUGAAAAAUGUGCAAAUGACACUUUUUCAUGUCAGUAUAUAAAGACUUAAUUUUUAAUGGCUCCGUGUGGUGGCACAACUGACCUAUAUUUUUUUCUUAUUGAUCAACACAUGUUAUUUCCAGUUGAUUCUUGAAUUUGGAUUUCUUUACCAUAAAAGAUAUUAAAAAGGUAAACGACCACUACACUCCUAUUCAAAAAUUCACCCAGGGUUAAGAGUUAACUUCUGUCACCACAAAGUUUAUGUGCUGAAAUCUUAGCCUCUACUACCUUAGAAUGUGACCAUAUUAAGGAACAGGGUCAUUGUGGACACAGUAGAGAUAAGGCCAUACUGGAGUAGAGUGGACCCCCCUACUGGUGUCCUUAUAAAAAGGGAAAAUGUGGAAACAGACCACAGGGAGAACAUUAUGUGAAAAUGAAGGGAGAGAUCAGGGUGAUGCAUCUAUAGGCUGUGGAAUGCCAAAGAUUGUCAGAAACUCACCAGAAGCGAGAAGACAGGCCUAGAACAGAUUCUCUCUCUGCCCUCAGAAGGAACCUGUCUUGCCAAUACCAGACCUUGGACUUUCAGCCUCCAGGUCUGUGAUUCAAUAACCUUCUAUUGUUUAAGCCACUCAGUUUGUGGUGUUUUGUUAAGCAGUCCUAGAAAAUGAAUAUAUUCAGUUUAAAAAAAAAAAAAGGUUGUUUAGUGUUUAAGAUAAAGAAUAUUGGGGUGACAGUUCAUGAUUUUGAGUGAAGGCCUAUCUAGGGUGACUGUGUUGUGUCAUAGUGUCUAUCCAGUGAUAUGCUGUAAGACAGUAACUGUGAUACAGCACAAGGCUUCUGGGAAGUGGCUCAAACUAUAAAAAAAGAAUGUGUUGGAUGUUAGGGCAGAGACCAAGUUACUGACCAGAGAUCGGGAAUGGUGAAAAGGAAAGAAUUAUUGAGAGCUUUCCAUAGACAAGGGUGUGGUAACCUAGGCUAUGUGUUCUGGCUUUUAAUCAAAUUGGGUAAUGCAAACAAGUAAAUAAUAAUGAAUUAUCUCUAGAGAAUGUAGCCUUCCUCUACCUCCAUUAAUAUCUCCUUCAAGGAUCUAAAUCUGAGAUUUUUAGCAGCAUAUGAUAGAUGACCUGAUUUUCUGGGAAAUCUAGGGGCACAUGAUUGAAUACUGUAUGUGUUACAUCAAUGUGCAUAUUUAUGAACAUAAAUUGCUUGCAGAAAGUUAUACCAGCCAUUCUGUUUUCAAGAUAUUGGCUAGACAGAGACAACAGUAGAAAAGGUAAAGAUAAAGGUUCUCCUUGGAACAAAGCCUCAUUCUCAAAACCAGGGUCCAUGCUGGGGAUGCAGACUGAGAAGCUGGGCCUGC